rnacentral:misc_RNA from 1 species
GAUGAAGAACGUAGCGAAAUGCGAUACGUAAUGUGAAUUGCAAAUUCAGUGAAUCAUCGAAUCUUUGAACGCACAUUGCGCCCCUUGGUAUUCCGAGGGGCAUGCCUGUUCGAGCGUCAUUAUAACCCCUCAAGCUCAGCUUGGUGUUGGGGCCUGCCGCACGGGCAGCCCUUAAAAUCAGUGGCGGUGCCAUCUGGCUCUAAGCGUAGUAAUUCUUCUCGCUAUAGAGUCCCGGUGGAUGCUUGCCAUUAACCCCCAAUUUUCUAUGGUUGACCUCGGAUCAGGUAGGGAUACCCGCUGAACUUAAGCAUAUCAAUAAGCGGAGGA